AUGUUCACGUGUAUUACCCACCCAUUGCACACGCAUGUGCACACACGUGCUCUUCACACACGCAGACACCUUUUGCACACGCAUUGCACGCACACUGUGCACUCAUGGACACAUACACCACACGCGUGUGAACACACACGCAUUGCACACGUAUGUGCUGACACAAUGCACACGUAUGUGCACACAUGUUGCCCACACAUUGCACACGUAUGUGCACACACGUGCUCUUCAUGCACACGGACACACAUUGCACACUCAUGUGCACACCCAAUGCACACGCACAUGCACACGCAUUGCCCACACAUUGCACAUGCAUGUGCACACGCAAUGCACACACGUAUGUGCACACUUAUUGGCCACACAUUGCACAUGCGUGUGCACACACCCAUUGCACAAGCAUUGCACACACGUAUGUGCACACGUAUUGCACACGCACCGCACACGUAUGUGCACACACGUGCUCUACAUGCACACGGACACAAAUUGCACACUCAUGUGCACACCCAAUGCACACGUAUGUGCGCACGCAUUGCCCACACAUUGCACAUGCAUGUGCACACGCAAUGCACACAUGUAUGUGCACACUUAUUGGCCACACAUUGCACAUGCGUGUGCACACACCCAUUGCACAUGCAUUGCACACACAUAUGUGCACACGUAUUGCACCCCCACCGCACACGUAUGUGCACACACGUGCUCUUCAUGCACACAGACACACAUUGCACACUCAUGUGCUCACCCAAUGCACACGCACAUGCACAUGCACAUGCACACGCAUUGCCCACACACUGCACACGCAUGUUCACACACAAUGCACACGUAUGUGCACACUUAUUGGCCACACAUUGCACAUGCGUGUGCACACACCCAUUGCACACGCACCACUCACGUAUGUGCACACGUAUUGCACAUCCACCGCACAUGUAUGUGCACACACUUGCACACUUAUUACACACUGCACACACAUGUGCACACACGUGCUCUUCAUGGACACAGAUAUCUUUUGCACACACAAACUGUGCACGCAUGGGCACAUACACCACACACGUGUGUUUGCACACCCAUUGCACAUGUAUGUGCUCACACAGUGCCCACCCAUUGCACACGCGUGUGCACACAAGUGCUCUUCACACACAUAAACUCCUUUUGCACACGCAUUGCACGCACACUGUACACGCAUGGGCACACACACCACACACGUGUGAACGCACACCCAUUGCACACACAUGUGCACACACGUGCUCACCUAUUGCUCACUGUACACGCAUGUGCACAUACAUACACCAUACAUGUUCAUGUACACGUAUUACACCCCCCGCAUGCACAAUGCACACACCUCCUUGCACACGCAAUUGCACACAUGUGACACAUGGGCACAUACACCACACACGUGUGUUUGCACACCCAUUGCACACGUAUGUGCUCACGCAUUGCACACCCAUUGCACAUGUAUGUGCUCACACAGUGCACACCCGUUGCACACGCGUGUGCAGACACAAUGCACACCCAUUGCACACAUGA
rnacentral:lncRNA from 1 species